GAACGAGAAAGGGGCUUCGGCCCUGAGUAAAGUGGCGCACGGGUGAGUAACACGUGACUAACCUACCCUGGAGUGGGGAAUAACUUCGAGAAAUCGAGGCUAAUUCCGCAUAAUACCUACGGGUCAAAGGAGCAAUUCGCUUUGGGAGGGGGUCGCGGCAGAUUAGCUAGUUGGCGGGGUAAUGGCCCACCAAGGCAGUGAUCUGUAUCCGGCCUGAGAGGGCGCACGGACACACUGGAACUGAAACACGGUCCAGACUCCUACGGGAGGCAGCAGUGGGGAAUUUUGCGCAAUGGGGGAAACCCUGACGCAGCAACGCCGCGUGGAGGAUGAAGUCUCUUGGGACGUAAACUCCUUUCGAUCGGGACGAUAAUGACGGUACCGAUAGAAGAAGCCCCGGCUAACUUCGUGC
rnacentral:rRNA from 1 species